UACCCCGCUGGACUUAAGCAUAUCAAUAAGCGGAGGAAAAGAAACCAACAGGGAUUGCCUCAGUAACUGCGAGUGAAGCGGCAGAAGCUCAAAUUUGAAAUCUAGCACCUUCGGUGCUCGAGUUGUAAUUUGGAGGGGUAUCUUCGGAAUCGGAACCCGCUCUAUGUUCCUUGGAACAGGACGUCAUGGAGGGUGAGAAUCCCGUGCACGGGUGGGUUUCCGUUUUCCAUGCGAAGUGCCUCCGACGAGUCGAGUUGUUUGGGAAUGCAGCUCAAAAUGGGUGGUAAAUUUCAUCUAAAGCUAAAUACAGGCGAGAGACCGAUAGCGCACAAGUAGAGUGAUCGAAAGAUGAAAAGCACUUUGAAAAGAGAGUUAAAAAGUACGUGAAAUUGUUGAAAGGGAAGCGCUUGAGAUCAAACUCGGCCGUUGGCGACCAACCGUGCUUCUGUGCGGUGUACUCGUCGCCGGCUGGGCCAGCAUCGGUUCCGAACCGCGUGGGAAACACGGAAGGGGAAUGUAGCUCGUGCUCGCGCGCGAGUGUUAUAGACCCGGCCUGUCGAUGCCGCCAGUUGGGACCGAGGUCAGUGCGUCACCCUGG
rnacentral:rRNA from 1 species